rnacentral:rRNA from 1 species
CUUUACCGCUGGCGGCAUUCCUCCCCCCUUCCAUUCGACCGAGUGGCGGACGGGUGAGUAAUGUCUGGGAAACUGCCUGAUGGAGGGGGAUAACUACUGGAAACGGUAGCUAAAACCGCAUACCAUCGGAUGUGCCCAGAUGGGAUUAGCUAGUAGGUGGGUGAACUUCUCACCAAGGCGACGAUCCCUAGCUGGUCUGAGAGGCUUACCAGCCACCAUGGAACUGAGACACGGUCCAGACUCCUACGGGAGGCAGCAGUGGGGAAUAUUGAACAAUGGGCGCAAGCCUGAUGCAGCCAUGCCGCGUGUAUGAAGAAGGCAUUCGGGUUGUAAAGUACUGUCAGCGGGGAGGCGUUACCCGCAGAAGAAGCACCGGCUAACUCCGUGAAAGCAGCCGCGGUAAUUC